AUGGCUGUCGUCAGCUCGUGUCGUGAGAUGUUGGGUUAAGUCCCGCAACGAGCGCAACCCUUGUCUUAUGUUGCCAGCGGGUUAUGCCGGGGACUCAUAAGAGACUGCCGGGGUCAACUCGGAGGAAGGUGGGGAUGACGUCAAAUCAUCAUGCCCCUUAUGUCUUGGGCUUCACGCAUGCUACAAUGGCCGGUACAAAGGGCUGCGAAACCGUGAGGUGGAGCGAAUCCCAAAAAGCCGGUCUCAGUUCGGAUUGGGGUCUGCAACUCGACCCCAUGAAGUCGGAGUCGCUAGUAAUCGCAGAUCAGCAACGCUGCGGUGAAUACGUUCCCGGGCCUUGUACACACCGCCCGUCACACCACGGGAGUGAGCAACACCCGAAGCCGGUGGCCUAACCCGCAAGGGAGGGAGCCGUCGAAGGUGGGGCUCGUGACUGGGGUGAAGUCGUAACAAGGUAGCCGUAGCGGAAGCUGCGGCUGGAUCACCUCCUUUCUAGGGAGCCCUCAACCAAGGGCACCGGUCGCCGUAGGAUCGUCGCUUGAGCUCUCGAGCUCCGCGGCGCUCUCCUCGAGCGCGGCCGGCCACUAGACAUGUCGACCGGACCUGAGUGACAGGUCGCACGUCGGGGUUUCAUACCCUGGCGAACGUGGCCCGCAUGCUGUUGAGUUUUGAGAGACCGGCGCGCUGCCGGGGGCUGGCUGGACUUCGGUCCCGGGUUCCCAAAGCGCGCUUUCGCCUCUUCGCGGACCUUGAAAACUGCACAGUAGCCAAUGUAACGGGUAUCACCGGGCGAGAGUCGGAGCUGGUAACAGCACCGGUCUCUCUCCCAAUAAGAUCACCGUCAAGAUAGUAAGGGCACACGGUGGAUGCCUUGGCACCAAGAGUCGAUGAAGGGCGUGAACGGCUGCGAUAAGCCGCGGUGAGGCGCUGAAUAGCCAGUGACCCGCGGAUGCCCGAAUGGGGAAACCCGG
rnacentral:sRNA from 1 species